AGCGGGAGCCUCUGAACGUAUCCGGUAAACGGUGACGCGGACUCAGCGCUCGGUGGGCUGUCAGUCAGACCGUUCACCUGAACUCACAAGUCGGCGGGUAACGCGCGGGGUGAAAGGGCUGCAGCUGGAGCGUCCUUCUCUCGCUGGUGUCGUCUGGGACUGGGAGUUCACAUAGACGGUGAUUUGGUUUGUGGUGCACGCAGUUUAUAGCCUGGUGUUUUUGUUUGGAAGUAAUUGGAUUUAUGUUUUGUUUGUAGUAUAACCCCAGUCCCGCCGCGGUGAGUGUCUGGGUCCUCGGCCGGAGCUCGACUGUCUAUCACCUUGUCUUUCUUUGCUGUGUUUUGAGGUUUUAGUCAUGUUUAAUAAACUGGCAUGUGUCUGA